rnacentral:rRNA from 1 species
GAUGAACGCUGGCGGCGUGCCUAAUACAUGCAAGUCGAGCGAACAGACGAGGAGCUUGCUCCUCUGACGUUAGCGGCGGACGUGUGAGUAACACGUGGAUAACCUACCUAUAAGACUGGGAUAACUUCGGGAAACCGGAUCUAAUACCGUAUAAUAUAUUGAACCGCAUUGUUCAAUAGUGAAAGACGGUUUUGCUGUCACUUAUAGAUGGAUCCGCGCCGCAUUAGCUAGUUGGUAAGGUAACGGCUUACCAAGGCAACGAUGCGUAGCCGACCUGAGAGGGUGAUCGGCCACACUGGAACUGAGACACGGUCCAGACUACUACGGGAGGCAGCAGUAGGGAAUCUUCCGCAAUGGGCGAAAGCCUGACGGAGCAACGCCGAGUGAGUGAUGAAGGUCUUCGGAUCGUAAAACUCUGUUAUUAGGGAAGAACCAAUGUGUAAGUAAAUAUGCCCGUAUUGACGGUACUUAAUAAGAAAGCCACGGCUAACUACGUG